rnacentral:lncRNA from 1 species
GCAAUUGGACAAAGCCAUCUAAACCCAAAGCAAUGGCUCGAUGGAGUUCACCAGGGAGGAUCUUGCUCUGAUCUAAAUAUACAGUGGAAAUCUGAUGUGAUCUAGGCUGCUGCACCUCAUCUACUAAAACCAAAUCCUGGAAAAGAUUUCUAUGAGAUGGUUUCUGUCAUUCUUCCUAAACUGGGAGCUAAGUGAUUAAUAUAGAGGAAAACUCACAGAUAAACAUAUCUCUGCAAAUGCAAAUAAGUACUAAAGUGCUGGUAACCAACAUCCCCACCCUGGUUCCUCUUAGCACUUCAGUCAAAGGCACACUUCGAACAGAAGAAUCUGAACCACAAAUUUAGCCAGUCUCUACUACCUUCAGAAAGGCUUCCAGAAGUCAUUUUCCUCCCAGACCUCCUAGAUUUCUAAUUUCUCUAUUCCUGCUAGGAGGGACACUACUACCCAAUCUAGGAGUAUCUUGGAAGAUUCAAGUGGGAAACCAUUCAGAUCUGUCUCUUCCCCUCAUCGCAUCAACAUUUUAAUCUGUCUCUACACAACGCAGGAUUCACAAGGGAAGUCUCAAAUCCCAUAGCGUUGCUUACAAGCAGCGUGACAACAAGGAUGAAGCCAGAGAGGCACCUAUGGUACAAAAUUUUAAAAGCAUGAAUUUCCCUCAACCUUAAGAAGAGAUGGAAUGUUCAUAAUGAGGAAGAAGUCUUCUGAUUUUCUAAAUAGGUAAUCACAACACAGAAGAGUGAAGAAGGACACAGGCUCUUAGCCACCAUGGCCUAAAACUGUCCCACACCUCUUCAACUCACAUCCUACUGUCCACAACCAGUCAUCAGUCAUGUGCAACGUUCACACAUAAAAGCCCUGGAAAAUGAAGGCCAGUGAUUUGCCUAGGAAAAGUAGAUGAAGAGAGCAGACUGGCCUUACCUUUGAAUAACCCUAAGCAAGUUAUCAACCUGUCUUAACCUACUUCUUCUUCUAAAAGAUGGGAAUAACAACACCAGCAUCCUUCUAGUGUGUGAAAGUUCAAACAAAAUGAAGCAAAAUCUUCACAGAGUAUCUGGCAAGUAGCAAAAUCUAAAUUAAGGUUGAUUAUUUGAGCCCAUCCCCAUCACUUCCAUAAGAGACAAUGGAAAUGAUGUUAGACAAAAAGUGAAUUCAGCAGUUUUCUUAUUUGAAUUCAAAAUGGGUCAUAAAGCAGUGAAGACAACUUGCAACAUCAACAAUACAUUUGGCCCAGGAACUACUAAUGAACCUACAGUAUAGUGGUGGUUCAAGAAGUUUCAUAAAGGAGACAGCCUUGAAGAUAAGGAGCACAGUGGUCGGCCAUUGAAGUUGACAACAACCAGUUGAGAGCAAUCAUCGAAGCAGAUCCUCUGACAACUACACGAGAAGUUGCCGAAGAACUCAUCGUUGACCAUUUUAUGAUUGUUCGGCAUUUGAAGCAAAUUGGAAAGGUGAAAAAGCUUAAUAAGUGGGUGUUAGGAUCACCUAAGCAGACCAUUCCCUUCCCCUCCCACAGGCCUUACAAUACAGUCUCUUGCGCUCUCCACACAGUCACCCCAGGGCAAAAGACAAACCCCCCACUUCACUGACCCCUCCACUAACUGUUUGUCCAGGCAGUUACAGGAUGCCAUUAACGUCUGUUCACCUCACAUAACAAAGCUGGCAAAAAACAUCUCCAGGAUGCGGACAAGACACUUGCAUCCCCGAAUCAGCUCCCCGACCCUGACCCAGUUCCUCAUCCUAUAAAGCCCUGCUGUAGUCUGUAAGUGUGGCUGCCUCCUCUGCUUUUGUCAGGAGGUAGCCCGGCAGGACUGACAAUAAAUUAGCUUGCCUGAACUUGGGUCUAUUGGCCUCAUUCCUUUCUUGGCUGUCCUUCCAAUUAUCCCUUACAGUGGGAGCCUCAUGAGCUGAGCAAAAAUUUUUUUAAAAAAUUAUCAUUUUGAAGUGUUGUCUUCUCUUACCCUAUGCAACAACAAUGAACCAUUUAUCGAUCAAAUUGUGACAUGCGACAAAAAAUGUAUUUUAUAUAACAACCAUCAAUGGCCAGCUUAGUGGCUGGACUGAGAAGAAGCGCCAAAGCACUCUAAGGCUGAACAAAUUGGGCUAUGAAGUUUUGCCUCAUCCACCAUAUUCAUUUGCCCUUUUGCCAACGAACUACCACUUCUUCAAGCAUCUCCAUUACUUUUUGCAGGUAAAACACUUCCACAACCAGAAGGAUGCAGAAAAUGCUUUCCAAGAGUUCACUGAAUCCCAGAGCAUGGAUUUUUAUGCUACAG